UCGGAAUUACUGGGCGUAAAGCGUGCGCAGGCGGUUUUGUAAGUCAGAUGUGAAAUCCCCGAGCUUAACUUGGGAACUGCGUUUGAAACUACAAGACUAGAGUGUGUCAGAGGGGGGUAGAAUUCCACGUGUAGCAGUGAAAUGCGUAGAGAUGUGGAGGAAUACCAAUGGCGAAGGCAGCCCCCUGGGAUAACACUGACGCUCAUGCACGAAAGCGUGGGGAGCGAACAGGAUUAGAUACCCUGGUAGUCCACACCGUAAACGCUGUCUACUAGCUGUUUGUGGAUUUAAUCCGUGAGUAGCGAAGCUAACGCGAUAAGUAGACCGCCUGGGGAGUACGGCCGCAAGGUUAAAACUCAAAUGAAUUGACGGGGGCCCGCACAAGCGGUGGAGCAUGUGGUUUAAUUCGAUGCAACGCGAAGAACCUUACCUACUCUUGACAUACUAGAAACUUUUCAGAGAUGAAUUGGUGCCUUCGGGAAUCUAGAUACAGGUGCUGCAUGGCU
rnacentral:rRNA from 1 species